rnacentral:lncRNA from 1 species
AUGCAGAUUUUCUUGAAAACCCUUACGGAGAAGACCAUCACCCUCGAGGCUGAACCCUUGGAUACGAUAGAAAAUGUAAAGGCCAAGAUCCAGGAUAAGGAAGGAAUUCCUCCUGAUCAGCAAAGACUGAUCUUUGCUGGAAAGCAACUGGAAGAUGGAUGUACUUUGUCUGACUACAGUAUUCAAAAGGAGUCUACUCUUCAUCUUGUGUUGAGACUUCGUGGUGGUGAUAAGAAAAGGAAGAAGUCUUACACCACUCCCAAGAAGAAUAAGCACAAGAGAAAGAAGGUUAAGCUGGCUGUCCUGAAAUAUUAUAAGGUGGAUGAGAAUGGCAAAAUUAGUUGCCUUCGUCGAGAGUGACCUUCUGAUGAAUGUGGUGCUGAGGUGUUUAUGGCAAGCCACUUUGACAGACAUUAUUGUGGCAAAUGUUGUCUGACUUACUGCUUA